UUUGCCAGAAAUGGUAAAGGGUGUUAUUCUGGACCUUUGCCAAAAAUGGUAAAGGGUAUGUGCUUAGAGCCUGCGAUGCUCUGCCGGCCCCCUCUGGCUUCACCUAGACGUGGGUGGAUGGAGCUCCCAGACGUGGGAGACUUUUGUCAGGUGGUCAUUCAGAAAUGAAUGAAUCACAUUCUGACUGAGAUCCCACUACACC
rnacentral:lncRNA from 1 species